UACAUGGAACCUCUGUUAUGGUGCCAGUGCUUGUCUAGAUACUCUCGUAACAUUCUCAUCUAACCCUUGCAGCAACCCUUUUGGGUAAGUGUUCAUGCAUUUUACAGUUGAGGAAACUGAAGCUCAGAAAAAUUAAGUUGCUUAAUUUUGAUUACAGAGCAGUUAACGUGAUGGAGGCCCCUGACCUCAGAGCAAGUGCUCUAGGUACCUUAAGUGGUUCUUAUAACCACUAUGGGUCUGAGACAUUUGUGGAGAUUAAAAAAAUAAAUACGUGGGAGAGAUCUACCCUUAGAUACAGUCAAUCUAGAAUGGAACAUCUGUAAUUUUUAAAAGUGUGUGUUUAAAUGUGUGAUUUUUAUUUUCAUACCUUUCAGAACCAGCAUAUCCUAUGCUGCCAGGUAAAUCUUCACUUUGUCCUUUUUAAAAAAAAUUUUUUAAUUGUUUUGGCCGCACCCACAGCAUGUGGAAGUUUCUGGAGCAGGAAUCAAACCUGCAUCACAGCAGUGACAACACCAGGUCCUUAACCACUAGGCCAUCAGGCAUCUCCUUGCCCUUUUCUCAUUGCUAAGUUUACUGAUAUUCUUUGGCACCUGCCAAUUUUCCUAUUGUUAUAGUUCUAGAAUCAGUAGGGCUUAUAAUUGCGCCUUCACUUUAAGGUGGGAAUUAAAUACGGUGAUACCAAGAAUGUUGCAUAACCAUCGUCUCCAUCUGUAUGUUAAACUGAGAGAUCAUCCCCUGAGCAGCCAUCUACAUUAGAACCCCAGCCAGUCUUAAUAAUUGUCCACCUCGGGAGUUCCCGUCGUGGCUCAGCAGAAAUGAAUCUGACUAGUAUCCAUGAGGACACAGAUUUGAUUCCUGGCUUCGCUCAGAGGGUUAAGGGUCUGGUGUUGCCGUGAGCAGGUUGCAGAUGUGGCUUGAAUCUGGCAUUGCUGUGGCUGUAGUGUAGCCCAGUGGCUACAGCUCCGAUUCAGUCUCUCCCCUGGAAAUUUCCAUAUGCCACGGGUGCAGCCCUAAAAAGAUUUAAAAAAAAAAAAAAAAUUGUCUACAUGGAAACUUUAAAUAUGUUUUAAAAACUGCACAUGUAAUAAGAAUGAUUAUGAACCUAAGGAAAUUUAAACUUUUUAUUUCCACAAAAGUAUUUGAAGUUUUCAUUUCAAACUAAACAGGAUACUGUUUGUUUAUAUAUUUGAAAAAAAAAAAAAAAGAUUGAAUAGAUCGCAAGCAGCUCAGAUAGGGCAGAUAAAAAAAUCUCGCAGGGCUGACAUUGGGAAGACUAAGCCAGGUGCUUAGGAAACUGAAGGUAGGCGUACCGUACAGGGUGUGUAACCGUAAGGGUUGGCAAUGGCUCUGGGUAGACCAGAGCAAAGUCUUCCCUGAAGCUGUGUGGAUGUCCUGGGAUUGGAAUGCCGGCCUUGUCGGCAUUACUUCUGUGUGUAGUGAGUUGAGUAUGUGAGAAGCAUGUUCAUAGAUGUUGACAGACCUGUUUUACUUGUUUCUCAGUCUUUUCAGAUCAUUGCUUAUAAAACACUGAUAUUUACAGUAAAUACCUUGUUUAAAUAUAGGCUCACCUGCCAAACCGUGUGUCCUUGUGCUGCACUCGUUUAAUGACUUUGCCCUUGACAUGUCAUCUGGGUGACUUUCAGUGACAGAAUGUUUGAAGGAGAUAAAGGGAAAAGCAGGAAGAGAAUAGCAUUUCCAGGAAAAAGCAGUCAUACAAGGGACAGGCUGGGGAGAGAAUAAAAGACGAUUUCUGUUGUGUGACCUUUGGCUGAUUCCUGAAGCAGACUGAUUUCAUUUGCCUUGUUUGUAAAUGAGAACAUUAUAGUGUGGUAAGUUCUUUUACCUCUGACUUCAUCCAGUGAUCUGUUUUAUUCUUUUUUUUUUUUUUUUUNNNNNNNNNNNNNNNNNNNNNNNNNNNNNNNNUUUUUUUUGUCUUUUUGCCAUUUCUUGGGCCGCUCCCGUGACAUAUGGAGUUUCCCAGGCUAGGGGUCUAAUCGGAGCUGCAACUGCCAGCCUAUGCCAGAGCCACAGCAACUCGGGAUCCUACACCACAGCUCACGGCAACGCCGGAUCGUUAACCCACUGAGCAAGGGCAGGGAUCGAACCCGCAGCCUCAUGGUUCCUAGUCGGAUUCGUUAACCACUGCGCCACGACGGGAACUCAUCUUUUUGUCUUUUUAUGGCCGCACCCUUGGCAUAUAGAGGUUCCCAGGCUAGAGGUCAAAUCGCAGCUGUGGCUGCUGGCCUACACCACAGCUACAUCAAUGCAGGAUCCGAGCCAGAUCCGAGCCACAUCUGUCACCCACACCACAGCUCACGGCAACGCCGGAUCCUUAACCCACUGAGCGAGGCCAGGGAUCGAACCCACAUCGUCAUGGUUCCUAGUCAGAUUCAUUUAACCACUGCGCCACGAUGGGAACUCCCUGCAAUAUUUAGCAUUUUGAGUUCUAUGUUAAACCACCUGGAUUCAUCUGUAAAAUGGAGUUAGCUAUUUCCUAACUUGUAAUGAUAAUUUAAUUAGAUAAUCCAGAUAAUCAUUUAGCACGCUGCCUGACACAAACUAAGCCCUUGGGAACUAAUCCACUCUUCAAAACUCAAGUUCCGAUGUCUUAGUAUUACCUGGAUCUUGGAUCUCCUCGGUCCUCUCUUUGUGCCUUAAGUGUGUCUUCUAACUUUCUAGUUAGGCACUGCCACUAGUCCUGAAAUUGUCACCAGUCCUGAAAUUGUCAGCAGUUUAUCUGCAUGUAUAGUUCUCCUCUUGGAUUAUGAGCCCUUUGAGGACAGAAACAGGUUUAUUUGUCUUCAUAAAUUCGAUGUCUGACUUUAUAAAUUUUGCUGAAAGAAUAAAAUUGUAUUCUUGUUUUUAAAUAGGGUCCCCUCCCUCUCUCAGUGGACGAUAAUGCUGGAGCAAAGGUGACCAGUAGAAGUGUUCUCGGAAAUUCUCGUCAUGUUCUCAAACCACUUUUUUUUUUUUUUUAAACAGCUACUUAAUUGCCACUGUACUCCCAAGGAUUAGAUAGUUUUUUUACUUUGCUUCUUCACAUGGUUUUCCUUAUUAAAAAAGUUACAGUAAGAAAGUAACUGGCAGGUGGAGAACUAUCCACUAAACAUGAAUAAAAGUCAGAGUUGCAUGCAGGCAGCAUAAUGACAGUAUAAAGAGGUUGAUCUUGGAGUCAAGGUGCUGGGUUCCUGCCACAGCAUCUGCCAUUUUCUAGCUGCAGGACUUUUUUCUCUCUCGCUCUACAGUGUGGUCCUAUUUCAUGGUGCUUGGUAUAACAGUAAGAAAAGUAGACUGGAGGCUGUGAAGGGGACUAGAGUUAGUCCUCUGGUGGUGCUCCGGAUAGACCAGAGCACAAGUCUUUUCUAGAGUUCUUAGAAUGAUCAAUAGGAGAUAAUAUUCGUGUAGUCCCAACACUGUGCCUGCUUGAUAGAAGAUACUCAGUUAUUUCUCAGCACAGAAAUGCAGGUCUAGGGAGUUCCCAUGUGGCAUAGCCAGUUAAGGAUCUGGCAUUGUCAUUGCGGUGGUGCAGGUUCAGGCUCAAUCCUUGGGCCUGGGAACUUCUGCAUGCCACAGAUGGAG
rnacentral:lncRNA from 1 species